rnacentral:rRNA from 1 species
GACGAACGCUGGCGGCGUGCUUAACACAUGCAAGUCGAACGGAAAGGCCCUGCUUUUGUGGGGUGCUCGAGUGGCGAACGGGUGAGUAACCCGUGAGUAACCUGCCCUUGACUUUGGGAUAACUUCAGGAAACUGGGGCUAAUACCGGAUAGGAGCUCCUGCUGCAUGGUGGGGGUUGGAAAGUUUCGGCGGUUGGGGAUGGACUCGCGUCUUAUCAGCUUGUUGGUGGGGUAGUGGCUUACCAAGGCUUUGACGGGUAGCCGGCCUGAGAGGGUGACCGGCCACAUUGGGCCGGAGAUACGGCCCAGACUCGUACGGGAGGCAGCAGUGGGGAAUAUUGCACAAUGGGCGGAAGCCUGAUGCAGCAACGCCGCGUGCGGGAUGACGGCCUGCGGGUUGUAAACCGCUGUCGCCUGUGACGAAGCGUGAGUGACGGUAAUGGGUAAAGAAGCACCGGCUAACUACGUG